UACGGAAGGCAGCAGUGGGGAAUAUUGCACAAUGGGCGAAAGCCUGAUGCAGCUAUGCCGCGUGUAUGAAGAAGGCCUUAGGGUUGUAAAGUACUUUCAUCGGGGAGGAAAAAACAAAACUAAUAAUUUUAUUUCUUGACGUUACCCGAAAAAGAAGCACCGGCUAACUCCGUGCCAGCAGCCGCGGUAAUACGGAGGGUGCUAGCGUUAAUCAGAAUUACUGGGCGUAAAGAGCACGUAGGUGGUUUUUUAAGUCAGAUGUGAAAUCCCCUGGGCUUAACCUAGGAACUGCAUUUUGAAACUGAAAUACUAGAGUAUCGUAGAGGGAGGUAGAAUUCUAGGUGUAGCGGUGAAAUGCGUAGAUAUCUGGAGGAAUACCUGUGGCGAAAGCGGCCUCCUAAACGAAUACUGACACUGAGGUGCGAAAGCGUGGGGAGCAAACAGGGAUUAGAUACC
rnacentral:rRNA from 1 species